rnacentral:lncRNA from 1 species
AUAUAUAAAGAGCGAGUGCGGCAGAUAUGUUUUUGGAAAGUACGGAGCGUUCCGUACUUUCAAAUCGUUUUCGAUGUUGGGAUUUUCAAAUCGACGAUCAGCUCCGUUAAACUUGAUCUAGAGUAUUUUAAGUAUCUGAAAAAUAAAUUUUACGAUUUUUUGAUAUUAUUUGCCUAGUGAUCGAAGUGGCUCAAAAUCAACGGCUGAAAAUAAAAAUCUUAUAAAAUAUAAUGAUGUGACAUUAAAAUUUUAGAUCAAAAAUAUUGAUCUUAUUUUAUAUAGUAUAAAGAAUUUUCUAUCAAAAUUUUACGUAAUUUGGAUAUUUCUAUACUGUUAAACUUGCAAACGGUUCACCACGGUCAUUAAAAUUAUUCAUUUUGAGCCCCUUCGAUCACUAAGCAAAUGAUAUCGAAAAAUUACAAAAUUUAUUUUCUAGGUAUUUCAAAUACUUUAGAUCCAGUUUAACGGAGCCGAUCGUCGAUUCGAAAGUCCGAACAUCGAAAAUGAUUUGAAAUUACGGAAGGCUCCGUCAUUCCAGAAGCAUACAAGCUCACUUAUAUAUAUAUAUAUAUAUAUAUAUAUAUAUAGAGAGAGAGAGAGAGAGAGAGAGAGAGAGAGAGAGAGAGAGAGUCCGGCUACUAUAAUUUUAUAAGUAUUGGCUUCCUUAUAUUCAUAAGUUUUCGAUCCUUAGAUUUAUUUCAUGAUUAUUUCCACCCGUUAGAUCAUACUAUUCAAUCAAUUACACACUCAACUAUAGGGGACCACUAUCAUUCUAAGUGAGGACUACCAUCAUUCUAACCACACAUCCUAUCAAUCAACGGUUAAAAAUUUAUAAGUACAAAAAGUUUUAUCCUCACUUUUGCUACUCUCAUUUUUGCGA